AUGUCAUCACGUUAUCCUGAUGUCAUGGAUAUGGGUCAGCAUGAGGUCAUUUGUCACAACGCUAACAAUAUGAACCUCUUCAAUCAACUGGAAAGCAGAGAAAAAAAAUACUCCUACCUCCAUUCUGACAUAAACUACAAGCACAUGUCUCCUGGGUGUGUGUGUGUGUGUGUGUGUGAAAAAUACCCACGUCUCCAUUCUGACAUAAACUACAAGCACAUGUCUCCUGGGUGUGUGCGUGUGUGUGUGCGUGUGCGUGUGUGUGCGUGUGCGUGUACGUGUGCGUGUGUGUGUGUGAAAAAUACCCACGUCUCCAUUCUGACAUAAACUACAAGCACAGAGAGCCGACCGGCUGGCACUAGCUAGCGACUUCAUACCUCCUUGCUUAUAAUUAAAUGACAUGUUUUCCAUCGAGUCCUGUGACCUUUUUAACAGACUGAACUGCAGUGAGCAAGCCUCGCUCCUCUCCAGACCAGACAGGCUCUCCAGACCAGCGACCAGAAGUGAGUUUAAACAAGGCUUUACUGUCACAAGUUGCCUAGUAACAGUUUCUCGUUGAAUGAUUUAAAUGAACGUUCCAAACAGCUGGUUUUUGCGAAAGGAUCGCUGGGCAAUUUCAAGAUAAUCACACUGCAAACGACUUUGCCUUUUUUCCUACACUCUCAGAAAGAAAAAAGUGCUGUCUACAAUCAAGUAGGGUUUUUCGGCUGUCCCCAUAGGAGAAACCUUUUGAAGAAUCCUUUUUUGGUUCCAGGUAGAACCCUUUUGAGUUCCCUUUCCACAGAGGGUUCUAAAAUAGAACCCGAAAGAGUUCUCCUUAUGGCGACAGCAGAAGAAGCUCAUAAGGAAGCCCCUUUUGUAAGUGUACUACUGCAUGUGAUAAAAAGACUACAUGGUCACAUUAGUAUUUUGCUGCAGCAAUCUAGACCCCAACACGACCGACACAGACUGUUCGCUAAUGUUCGCUAAUGUUUAGCGCUAACACAAAACAAAUGGUCGCUAACGUUCACAAACUAUUUCCCUUGUUGAACACACCUCAGGGCUGGCAGCGUUCUGUUUGGCCCACUAGAGAAGCAGCAGCCUGAUUGGCUAAGAAACUCGGCAAUGUCCUCCAUUUUCCAUCUUUCAGCUUCCUCAAUGAUUUUGCCUUCACGCUUAACACACACAACUAUACACAUCUAACACACACACACGUACACACACACGUACACACGCACACACACACACAAACACAGUCACACACAGUGUAAACCUGACCUUGCAUUAAGGAGCCUCUCGCUGGAGAUGCCGGCAGCUCUCGCCUCCUCGUCAAUUGAGGCCUAAAUUUAGAUUACGUUUUAUAACAGAGGAUAGACAGUAGUGGUGUGUGUGUGUGUGUGUGUGUGUGUGUGUGUGUGUGUGUGUGUGUGUGUGUGUGUGUGUAGGGAAGUGAAUAGGGACUCGAGGCCCCACAUAGAGGUCAUUGAACCCCUUUCCCACACACCCCAUCUCCUCCCUUCUUCACUUGAUGGGUUUUAUUCAGACCAACCAGCAACAAGGUUUCCCAGAAUGCCUUGCUGUGACAACCUCUAGUAGGGUGGUGAGGCUGGUUAGAGGUCAGUACUAGGAGGGAGGGGUGCUGGACUCCUGUCACCUCUAGUGGGGUGGAGAGGCUGGUCUGAGGUCAGUACUAGGAGGGAGGGGUGCUGGACUCCUGUCACCUCUAGUGGGGUGGAGAGGCUGGUCUGAGGUCAGUACUAGGAGGGAGGGGUGCUGGACUCCUGUCACCUCUAGUGGGGUGGAGAGGCUGGUCUGAGGUCAGUACUNNNNNNNNNNGUGUGUGUGUGUGUGUGUGUGUGUGUGUGUGUGUGUGUGUGUGUGUGUGUGUGUGUGUAGGGAAGUGAAUAGGGACUCGAGGCCCCACAUAGAGGUCAUUGAACCCCUUUCCCACACACCCCAUCUCCUCCCUUCUUCACUUGAUGGGUUUUAUUCAGACCAACCAGCAACAAGGUUUCCCAGAAUGCCUUGCUGUGACAACCUCUAGUAGGGUGGUGAGGCUGGUUAGAGGUCAGUACUAGGAGGGAGGGGUGCUGGACUCCUGUCACCUCUAGUGGGGUGGAGAGGCUGGUCUGAGGUCAGUACUAGGAGGGAGGGGUGCUGGACUCCUGUCACCUCUAGUGGGGUGGAGAGGCUGGUCUGAGGUCAGUACUAGGAGGGAGGGGUGCUGGACUCCUGUCACCUCUAGUGGGGUGGAGAGGCUGGUCUGAGGUCAGUACU
rnacentral:lncRNA from 13 species